AGGACUAACGCUGGCGGCGUGCCUAACACAUGCAAGUCGAACGAGGUAGCAAUACCUAGUGGCAGACGGGUGAGUAACGCGUGGUCAACCUACCUCUUAGUGGGGGAUAACUAGCCGAAAGGUUAGCUAAUACCGCAUACGAUCGUCGCGAGGCAUCUCGUGACGAUGAAAGGAGCAAUUCGCUAAGAGAGGGGACUGCGUCCCAUUAGUUAGUUGGUGGGGUAAUGGCCUACCAAGACUCCGAUGGGUAGCUGGCUUGAGAGAGCGACCAGCCACACUGGAACUGAGACACGGUCCAGACUCCUACGGGAGGCAGCAGUGAGGAAUUUUCCGCAAUGGGCGCAAGCCUGACGGAGCGACGCCGCGUGUGGGAAGAGGCCUUCGGGUCGUAACCACUGUCGAAGGGGACGAUAUUGACGGUACCCUUGGAGGAAGCCCCGGCUAACUACGCGCCAGCAGCCGC
rnacentral:rRNA from 1 species